rnacentral:rRNA from 1 species
GACGAACGCUGGCGGCGUGCCUAAUACAUGCAAGUCGAGCGGACGGAUGGGAGCUUGCUCCCAGACCGUCAGCGGCGGACGGGUGAGUAACACGUGGGCAACCUGCCUGUAAGACUGGGAUAACUCCGGGAAACCGGGGCUAAUACCGGAUAACUCUUUCCCUCACAUGAGGGAAAGCUGAAAGAUGGCAUCUCGCUAUCACUUACAGAUGGGCCCGCGGCGCAUUAGCUAGUUGGUGAGGUAACGGCUCACCAAGGCGACGAUGCGUAGCCGACCUGAGAGGGUGAUCGGCCACACUGGGACUGAGACACGGCCCAGACUCCCACGGGAGGCAGCAGUAGGGAAUCUUCCGCAAUGGACGAAAGUCUGACGGAGCAACGCCGCGUGAGUGAUGAAGGUUUUCGGAUCGUAAAACUCUGUUGUCAGGGAAGAACAAGUACCGGAGUAACUGCCGGUACCUUGACGGUACCUGACCAGAAAGCCACGGCUAACUACGUG